CUUAAUUUAUGUGUGCAUCAGCUUGCAACCAGUUUAAUAAGCGCAUCUCAGCUUGUUUUAUUCCCCCUUUGGAAAUUUGGCUCGUGUUCUGUUUGCACGCAGCUGUUUUGGGAGCUGCACUCAGCACCGACUUCUUCGAUUAGUUCUGGCUCGUGUCACGUGACCAACCCAUUAUAUUGUGCAACACACAUCUCUAGUUACAGCAGACUGCAAAGCGCAUCCACAGCCCACUUUAUUCAUGCGGCCUGUGUGUGGGUGGCACCACUAGAUAAGAUAUGUUUACUUAAACCAAACAAAAUCUACAUAAAUGUGGCACAGCUAAAAUCGUUCCCAAACCAGCUUAAGCGUUUUCAAACGUAACUACUCUACAUACACAUGCAUAUAUGGAUGUACAUUUAUACACACGUACUUAUAACUGUGUAUUAGAAUUACCUGGGAACAGCUGGCAAAGGAACAUUCGGCAUUACGGGGUAAGGAAAAUAGUUUACAAAAAUACAACAAAACAGCAAAAAAAAUUACAAUCGGAUAUGGAAAAAAGUUUAUAACAAAUACAAUUUGUGUGUAAACCAACUAAAAUUACAAUUUCAAAACGAUUAAUUCGUUAACCGUUAUCAAGUUAUGCAUCUAACUGUAAAGAAGAAUCUUAAAUGAGCAACAGCUCUCGCUAAGGUCAAGCUGUAGACAAAAACAGUCCCAGAGAUAACCACAAUAAAGACUCUGCUGAGCAUA